AGUGGGAUAACUGGGUCAAAUGGUGGUUCCAUUCUAAGUUUUCUUACAAAUCUCCAGACUGCUUUCCAGAGUGGCUGCACCAGUUUGCAGUCCCACCAGCAAU
rnacentral:pre_miRNA from 1 species